UUGAAACACCGGUUUUCCGUACGAUCACCGAAGUUAAGCAACGUCGAGUCUGGCGAGUACCUAGAUAGUUAACUGCUUGAGAAUAACAGGUGCUGUAAG